rnacentral:tRNA from 1 species
GCCCGGAUGGCGAAAUCGGUAGACGCAGCAGACUUAAAAUCUGCCACCCGCGAGGGUAUGCCGGUUCGAGUCCGGCUCCGGGCACCA